GACGAACGCUGGCGGCGUGCUUAACACAUGCAAGUCGAGCGGUAAGGCCCUUUCGGGGUACGACGAGCGGCGAACGAGUGAGUAACACGUGGGUGACCUGCCCUCAGCUCUGGGAGUAAGCCUGGGAAACCGGGUCUAAUACUGGAUAUGACUCCAUGACGCAUGUUGUGGGGUGGAAAGCCUUGUGCGGCUGAGGAUGGGCCCGCGGCCUAUCAGCUUG
rnacentral:rRNA from 1 species